rnacentral:rRNA from 1 species
AUUGAACGCUGGCGGCAUGCCUUACACAUGCAAGUCGAACGGCAGCACGGGUGCUUGCACCUGGUGGCGAGUGGCGAACGGGUGAGUAAUACAUCGGAACAUGUCCUGUAGUGGGGGAUAGCCCGGCGAAAGCCGGAUUAAUACCGCAUACGAUCUACGGAUGAAAGCGGGGGACCUUCGGGCCUCGCGCUAUCGGGUUGGCCGAUGGCGGAUUAGCUCGUUGGUGGGGUAAAGGCCUACCAAGGCGACGAUCAGUAGCUGGUCUGAGAGGACGACCAGCCACACUGGGACUGAGACACGGCCCAGACUCCUACGGGAGGCAGCAGUGGGGAAUUUUGGACAAUGGGCGAAAGCCUGAUCCAGCAAUGCCGCGUGUGUGAAGAAGGCCUUCGGGUUGUAAAGCACUUUUGUCCGGAAAGAAAUCCUUGGCCCUAAUACGGUCGGGGGAUGACGGUACCGGAAGAAUAAGCACCGGCUAACUACGUG